GCCAUCAUUCUUGGUUGAAGGUGACUUA
rnacentral:piRNA from 1 species